AGGUAAUCAAAAAUGACCGUCAUACGUCACUGUCGCAUAUUUUUUAUAAUUUUGUGUGUACUCACAAUUUUAAGUGUGAUACAAACACAAGCAGAUAAUCCAGUUGUGAAUAAUACUGUCAAUUCUAUAAACAUCAAUGGCACAAACACCAAUGGUAUAAACAAGUACGAAUUAGAGGUAGAAAACGAGAAACCAGGCCACGAAAAACAUUCGAGAGUUCGAAGGGACACAGACAAAAUCCGUGUAAUACCUCCCAGUUACUGUUUCUUUUUUGGGAAAUGUUACGAUAUAUUUUGCGAAUGUCAUAAAAUGAAGAUAUGAUAAAAUGACUUAAACUCUUACCUGAUAA